GCCCGUGUUUACACAACAGGUCUUUUUGGCACAUUCAAGCACAUAAUCCGCACUGAGGGCUUUUGGGGUCUAUAUAGAGGCAUCAUGCCUGAAUACUACAAAGUCGUACCUGGUGUGUUGGCAUUUGUUUUAUGACCUAUGAGACUUUGAAAUUGCUGUUAGCGGAUGUUACUGCCAAAUUAUAGCUGCUAUGAGUGGAUCUCGGAGGUUGAUGUGCAAACGGAACAAUCAAGAACUGUUGCGCAAAUAACGUGUUCGGGUGUACUCGAUAUGUAUUCUCAUG
rnacentral:misc_RNA from 1 species